GGGGCAAACAGGGAGAAGAGAGAGGCUGAGAGAUACUUCAGGGCCCAGUGCUCUGGGGGAGAGGACCCAGGGGCCGGGGUGCAGCAGCCAGAGUGAGCCUGAGGGAGGGAGCUGGGGAGCCAGGACUGCUGGCUCCCAAAGAGGCUUCUUGGGCCCAGAGAACUGGAUGGCAAGGCAGAGGGGGAGGGACAAGGGAGAUGAGCAUAGGAUGGAGAGUGGCUCAGUGUGGGGACUGGGACAGCUUUGGCGAGAACCCAGUGCUUGCGAGUCACUUGAGGAGCCAUUCCCUAGAGGGUGUGACUUUUGAGGUGGCUUCGAUGGAGGGGACAUUGGCCCUGGGGGAGCUCGUGGCAGUGGAUGGGGUACAGGGAGAGGAGCAGGCAUGGCUUUGAUGGGAGCCCUGGGCCGUGGCAGCCUGGGAGUGACAGGCAGGUCUGGAAGGUCUGGCUCCGUUCCUACUGGUGCAAGAGUCUGACUCUGCAGGAUGUUAGCAUCCACUGAAAGGGAUGACGGGAGCAGGGCUGUGUUUUGGGUAGAGGAAUGUGGCAGGAUGGAUAGACUCAGGAGAGGCUGGAGGCCGGGAGCCUGCAGGUCAAGCGAGGAGUGAAUUAAGGUCCCAGAGGCCGCUGCAGGGAGGGAGAGUCUCUUGGAAAUACAGCUCCCUGGGCCCAGGCUCAAAUGAGUUGGACUGGCCUGGGAACCUGCAUUCAAAGGUGCCAGGGAGCCUCUGCUGCAGGGAGCAGGUUGAUGCUGCGCUGUCUCUCCAUCCUCCUCAUCUCCAGGCAGCAAGCCCAAGCGGCUGAGCUGGGCUCAGGGGGAAGGAGCAGCUGGUCGACCACUGGGUCCCUGGAGGAUGGGACAGAGAAGGAUCAUGAGUGUUGAAAGGGAUGUGCGCUCGGUUUGUCCAACCUGUGAAAUGGGAAGUUCAGUGUCACACCAUCAGACAGACCUGCAAGCUGCCCUGACCCUUAGUUUCCUCACCUGCCAAAUGGAGGUGGCACGCCUACCGCGUCAUGCUGUUCCGGAUACCCGGUGACAUCAGGUGGGUAGCACAUACAGUGCGCUUAGCACAUUGUCAGGUGCGGGGCAUAGGAAAGCUGCCCGUGACUACUGGAGGGUGACGUAUGUAAAUAUACCCACGUUUAGGGACCUUGGCAACUGGAAACUUCCAGUCUCGCAGGGGAUGGGCGGCAGCAAGAAGCACACCAACGGAACAGACAACACACAUCUGCUUUCUCAGCCCCUCUCUGUCUUCCACAUGGGCCUGACCCUUCUUUGGGACCUUGGAAAGGUCAACAAGAAAAAGAAGAGGGAGUUCCCAGCGUGGCUCCACAGUAAUGAACCCGACUAGUAUCCAUGAGGAUGAGGGUUCGAUCCCUGGCCUCGCUCAGUGGGUUAAGCAUCUGGCCUUGCCAGGAGCUGUGCUGUAGUUUGCAGAUGCAGCUCGGAUCCUGCAUUGCUGUGGCUGUGGUGUAAGCAGCAGCUCCGAUUGAACCCCAAGCCUGGGAACCUCCAUACGCUGGGGAGUGGCCCUAAAAAGGAAAGAAAGAAAGAAAGAAAGAAAGAAAGAAAGAAAAAGAAAGAAAGAAAAGACAAAAGAAAUUUCCGCUCAUGCUUUAUGGGACCUCUCAGGUAGGGGGGCUGCCCCGGGCUGCUUGUAAUCAGCCAGAGUGGACUCUUUGGCAACUUUUCAUGAUCUUGGUCUGCUGAUGGCUCC
rnacentral:lncRNA from 9 species